UUAGGUUACACCAAACAGAGAAAAGUUCCACACAUCAUCAUCCAAGAAUUAUUACUGUUGCUCAGAAACAAACACAGAGAAUGUCUUGCUAAGCCAUUUCAGAGGCCAGUUCUGAAUCAACCACAAAGCUGGUGGACCUUGUAGUCCAGAUCAGAUUUGACACCUCCACCUAUUUGACAGUGCACCUCAUGAUCAAAGGACAGAUCCCAGGAAUUUACCCCUGGCUGACUUUGAUGAG